CUGAGACACAGAGGCUGGUGGUACCUGCUCCAAGGGGAGAAGAGGUGCCCUUGAGCUCUUCACCCUGCAGUCGGAGCACAGAACCAUGGCAGUGGGAAUGAUGGGGUUGCCCCUUCUGAGACGGAUCCAAAAAUUCUGACCUCCUCUUCCUCAGGGAAACUUGCAACUACAGAGACUCUUCAUCCACAUGGGAGAGGAGUGAGAGGGCAAUGUUAGAUAAAUGCAGAAAUUCCUCUUCUCCUCACGGGAUGCUCCUGGUAAUGGAUAAGACCUCGUGGCUUGGCUUGCCCUCAUCCCUGGAGUCUCCUUUAGGAGGUAAUCUUCGGAGAAGAGAAACAACAGCAUUACUAUAUUCUGCACAGUGCCUUGCACAGUGUAUCCCUGAUGUGACUGGGCUUUUGGGCACAUCAGACCUACAGAGGAGCUACAGGGCUUCAGAACUCCCUUGCCCUCCUCUUGGAGCACUCCCUCAGUUCAGGUGCUGCAGAGACCACCAGAAGGGGCCUGUGCCAAGCCCUAAAGCCUCAGCAGAGAUGCUGAGGGCAGAGUCUGGAGGAGAUGCCACAUUGCCCCCAGGAGUGCUAAGAUACUGCCAAGGACCUUGCCGCUCUCCAGAGCAGCCAAGGACACCGAGGGCACAGGCAUAGUCCGUGACCAUAUUGGUGCCUUCCGUGCCCGGCGCUGCUCGCCUCCCACGCGUGCCCCGCUGUGCUCUGUGCUCAGCAGAGGGACACUGCACUCACACACUUCUCUGCUACCUGGCGCCUGAGCUGCACACAGACGUGCCUGUCAUUGCCUGGGCUCUGCCAUGGAUGGUUAAUUGCCAGUAAUUGGCAUCUGCCAAGAAGUCCCCUGAGACAGGGGCACCAAUAGACUUCUGCCAAGGCUUGUUUUGUACCAAAUAUCCCAAGGGAGAAUCUCGGCUACGUAAAACCCCAAUAUCUUGACUUACUCAGAAAAGCCUCCAACACACUGACUGACGCCUCGGAGCAGUUAUGUGCCCCAGCUAGCCAAAUACAUGUAAUUAUAAAGUAACUGCAAGGGUGAAUAAUAUAUCACACAUCAUCCUCUGAACAUAUGGACUCACAGAUUCUAUGUAAUGAGCAAUAGUCUGUGUAUUGCUGGGAUCUCAUACAGCUUGGGGAGUAGGUUAUAUAUUCAUGUAGUGUGAUGUGGCAGUCCCUCAGCUUAUCUGUCCCCACAAAAACACAGGAGCUGCUGCAGCCCUGCAAUGAUGUUGCUGGAUGUGAGGCUGAUCAGAAAUGGAAACUGAAAUAAACAACCAGUUUUAGAUCUUUGAGCA
rnacentral:lncRNA from 1 species